CCCUGGCUCAGGAUGAACGCUGGCGGCGUGCCUAAUACAUGCAAGUCGAGCGAAUGGAUUAAGAGCUUGCUCUUAUGAAGUUAGCGGCGGACGGGUGAGUAACACGUGGGUAACCUACCCAUAAGACUGGGAUAACUCCGGGAAACCGGGGCUAAUACCGGAUAAUAUUUUGAACUGCAUAGUUCGAAAUUGAAAGGCGGCUUCGGCUGUCACUUAUGGAUGGACCCGCGUCGCAUUAGCUAGUUGGUGAGGUAACGGCUCACCAAGGCAACGAUGCGUAGCCGACCUGAGAGGGUGAUCGGCCACACUGGGACUGAGACACGGCCCAGACUCCUACGGGAGGCAGCAGUAGGGAAUCUUCCGCAAUGGACGAAAGUCUGACGGAGCAACGCCGCGUGAGUGAUGAAGGCUUUCGGGUCGUAAAACUCUGUUGUUAGGGAAGAACAAGUGCUAGUUGAAUAAGCUGGCACCUUGACGGUACCUAACCAGAAAGCCACGGCUAAC
rnacentral:rRNA from 1 species